rnacentral:rRNA from 1 species
CAUGAAGCCGGAAUCGCUAGUAAUCGCGGAUCAGAAUGCCGCGGUGAAUACGUUCCCGGGUCUUGUACACACCGCCCGUCACACCAUGGGAGUCGGAAAUGCCCGAAGUCUGUGACCCAACCGUAAGGAGGGAGCAGCCGAAGGCAGGUCGGAUGACUGGGGUGAAGUCGUAACAAGGUAAC